UUUUGGCCGUCCCAAAUGACUAGAAAGAAGUACUUUAGCUCCAUUUUGGAUCAAAUGCUUAAUCGUGGGGAUUGCAGCUCUAAUUCUAGUGUCAUCAGUGAUUUUUUGGUUGUCAUCCAAAGGCACAUUCAAAUCAGCCCUCACAAAGACCUUCUUUCCCUUCAAAUCCGUAGCUGUCAGCUCUCCAACACUCUUCUUGGCCAUGGACACCACUGCCCUCGAGGCCUUACCGGACCCAAAUGAUUGGAUUUUGGAUGCAACAUGGUGACUAAAAAGAGGGUCAGCAGCAGCGAAGCCGAGGCGGCGAAGACUGGUGGAGCGGAGGCCGGUAGAGGAAACUGGAAGAAGGGAAGCACGAAGGCGGGUGUUGGAGAAGGAAGAAGCUGUGGUUUUAAGAAGAGAAAGGGUAGUGGGUGCUGUAGCAGAGGC
rnacentral:misc_RNA from 1 species